CCAGGAUGAGGUCUGAACUUCCCGGAAAUCUUGAACUGAGUGGGGGUUAUCAUGGCUGCGAGAGCGUGGUUAAACGUUUAUGCACCAUAUAGGAUAAGACGGAAAGCUUUCAAGCUACCAGAGUGAAAAGCGUCACGGGCGCCUCGGGAGGAAGCUCAGUGGAGUGCUGGCUUUGCAGGCAGAGGUGAGCUCAGUGCCCGAUGCUGCCAAAAGCGUCAUUUGGGAACUGCCUUUGCCUUCUGGAGGUAUCAUCCCUUCAACUUUAGAACAGUGCUUCUAAAGCACAUCUACAAUGCUUUUCUCUAACCACUCCCAAUUCUCAGCAGUUUGUGCUGGUCGUUUUGUUACGUGGUUCCGUUACAAACCAGUAAAGUCACCGGGUCGCUGAACUCACGGGUCAGUGCCACCCGUUGAAUGCCUUGUUCGUUUGUGGUACAAACCCUCUAGCCUGUCACUGUGUGGAAGGGUUAGCAGAUGAGAAGAUGACUUGCCUCUUGGGGAUGUCAUGGCCCAGUAAGAGGCUGGGCUGCCUUUGGUACUGUAGAUAGCAGCGAAACAACAGCCAGCAGCGUAGAAUGCCCACAGGGCAAACUACUGAAGUGGAUUUGGGGACUGGAGACCAUAUGGCAUCAGCUCUAGCCCCUGGCUCAGAACUUACUUCCGUUAGCCCAGAAGUUAAAAAGCUUUGAAGAUGUGAAGAAGGCACAGGAUCAGCUUUAUGUCACAGCUGAGAUAACGGACCUUUAACAAGCAUUGGAUUUUCUGGAAACAGAGCUCAAACUGCUCGGCUGUCUUGACAGUGUAUUCCUCCGGUGACACACAGGUGCCUGGCCCGACCCACUACAAGCGGAGACACAAGCUAGUCUCUGGUGACAAUGGCUGUCCACACUGUUAGCAAGGAUGCCGUAGCAGGAGCCAAUCCAUCAGCCACCAUUCCACUCUGGACCUGCUCAUCUUCUUCCUGCCCAGCAGUGAGAGGAGUUUCCGAACGUUAAUGAGAGCAAAGGAGGGAUGCGCAGGGCCUCUGUUCUUUUUGUUCUCUGUCGUUGAACACUGGGGCAGUUCGGGGCACAGGGAAGUUAGAGUAUUUCUGGAGGAAUAAAGGCCUGCCUGUUCACAGUCUGCUGGUCCUACUGGGUUUCACGAGAGAGCAACACAACAGCUCUCUGUAUCUUUCUUGAAAUAAACAGGUCUUUGCAUUAAAAGCAAGGAAGUCUGUUCUUAAGCAACAGAGACUUUCUAAAUAUUAGUGACUAACUGGAUUAAAUGCUUCCAUUUCUCA